UGGAUCCCCUCCUCCCUCUCUCCCUGCCCUGCAAGACCCUGCCUGUGCAUCUGCAGCCCCCGAGGGCUUCCUUGGCCGUGGUGUUGUAACGAAUCCGGAAUCUGCUGCGAUUAUCUCCUGGCUGGGCAGCCACGCUACCGGGUCCCAGGUGACCCUGUGCCUCGCUCCAGAGACCAGCACAGGCCUGAGGUGGCUUCGCCUCAUCCAAAGAGAGGACGUCCAGGUCUCAGAUCAGAGGAAGCUCCUGGGAGAGUUCUUUAGGGACCCCCCAAUCCUCUUCCCUGGACCCUGUGCCCACCUCCCAGCUGCCCCACUGGCUCUUCCAUGCUCCCAGCCAGAGCCCCUUUUGGGAGAACAGGAGCCUCUGCCUGGAAGGCCCGGCCUGUCUUGCCUGCAGAGGGCACACAGUGGGGAUGUCGGAGCAGAAGAUCGGUCUUGGACUCCAGGCAGCUCGGCCUGCACUGCGAUCUGCCCCCGAUGCCUUGCAGACCCUCCGUAGCUGGGUCAUGUCCCUGAGGUGUGGGGCUGAGCCCGGCCUGCUCUCCUCUU
rnacentral:lncRNA from 1 species